CCCUUAGAUGUUCUGGGCCGCACGCGCGCUACACUGAUUCAUGCAACAAGUUUUGUCCUUGGCUGAUAGGCCUGGGUAAUCUUUGAACGUGAAUCGUGAUGGGGAUAGAUGAUUGCAAUUAUUCAUCUUCAACGAGGAAUUCCUAGUAAACGCAAGUCAUCAGCUUGCAUUGAUUACGUCCCUGCCCUUUGUACACACCGCCCGUCGCACCUACCGAUUGAAUGGUCCGGUGAAAUCUUCGGAUCUGAGAGAUGUCUGAUUAAUUUCGGACGCCUUUUGGAAAAGUUGCUUAAACCUUACCAUUUAGAGGAAGGUAAAGUCGUAACA
rnacentral:rRNA from 1 species